UACAUGGGGUGCAAACGUUGCUCGGAAUUACUGGGCGUAAAGGGCGCGUAGGCUGUGCUGUAAGUCAGGCGUGAAAUCCCCGGGCUCAACCCGGGAAUUGCGCAUGAUACUGCGGCGCUUGAAGACGGGAGAGGAUGGCGGAAUUCCCAGUGUAGAGGUGAAAUUCGUAGAUAUUGGGAAGAACACCGGUGGCGAAGGCGGCCAUCUGGCCCGUAAUUGACGCUGAGGCGCGAAAGCGUGGGGAGCAAACAGG
rnacentral:rRNA from 1 species